rnacentral:rRNA from 1 species
GACGAACGCUGGCGGCGUGCUUAACACAUGCAAGUCGAACGGAAAGGCCCUGCUUUUGUGGGGCGCUCGAGUGGCGAACGGGUGAGUAACACGUGAGUAACCUGCCCUUGACUUUGGGAUAACUUCAGGAAACUGGGGCUAAUACCGGAUAGGAGCUCCUGCUGCAUGGUGGGGGAUGGAAAGUUUCGGUGGUUGGGGAUGGACUCGCGGCUUAUCAGCUUGUUGGUGGGGUAGUGGCUUACCAAGGCUUUGACGGGUAGCCGGCCUGAGAGGGUGACCGGCCACAUGGGGACUACGAUACGGCCCAGACUCCUACGGGAGGCAGCGGUGGGGAAUAUUGCACAAUGGGCGGAAGCCUGAUGCGGCAACGCCGCGUGCGGAAUACCGGCCUUCGGGUUGUAAACCGCUUUCGCCUGUGACGAGGCGUUAGUGACGGUAAUGGGUAAAGAAGCACCGGCUAACUACGUG